rnacentral:misc_RNA from 1 species
UCCGGUUUGUCACCGGCAGUCUCAUUAGAGUGCCCUUGCGUAGCAACUAAUGAUAAGGGUUGCGCUCGUUGCGGGACUUAACCCAACGUCUCACGACACGAGCUGACGACAGCCAUGCAGCACCUAUACAGCGGCCCUUGCGGGCACCAGCCUUUCAGCCGACUUCCACUGCAUUUCGAGCCCAGGUAAGGUUCUUCGCGUUGCCUCGAAUUAAACCACACGCUCCGCUGCUUGUGCGGGCCCCCGCCUAUUCCUUUGAGUUUUAACCUUGCGGCCGUAGUCCCCAGGCGGUGAACUUAAUGCGUUAGCUGCGGCACGGAUCCCGUUGGUUGAGACCCACACCUAGUGCCCAACGUUUACGGCGUGGACUAC